CCACUAAGGGACUACAGAAUAGACACGUGUCAAACUCGAGGCCCGGGGGCCAAAUCCGGCCCCUCGCAGAUUAUGAUCUGGCCCACAUAUCAAUUUAGGUUCACAAUACAGUUUUUUUCUC